rnacentral:lncRNA from 1 species
GUGUGUAAUCCAACAGUUAUUCCUUGUUAUAGGGAAUAUUGCUAAAAGGUGCACAAGUUCUAGAUGCCCUCGCUUCUUGCCACACUGUUGCUUUUGACAAAACCGGGACCUUAACAACUGGCGGUCUUACUACAUACAUAUAUUCCCUUUAUUGUCCAGACAAUGAAUAAUUUUUGAUGUUACAAAACUGUUAAGAGAGAUAUCUUUGGCUUCUUUUCUUCUUAUGGACAAUUGGUUAGCUUACUUUCUUUGCUGGUUAAUGAUACAGCAUGCAGAGGAUCGGUCUACAGAGCAUUGGGACUUAUGGUGGCCGCAUCACCAUGUGCUUUGGCUGUUGCUCCGUUGGCUUACGCUACUGCUAUUAGUGCUUGUGCGAAAAAGGUAUCAUGCAUGAACUCUGUGUAAUUACAACCUGAGUAACUGAAAUUACCAACUACGUGUUAGCAUUCUUUAGUAAUUGAAAUUAAGCUCACGGCUUUAGAACCUAAGGAGUCUUAUUUGCAAUUGUGAGGAUUUUAUGAUGCCUAUGCGACUAUUUAGUUCUCUUCUGUUCACGUGUAAGUGUGUAAUCCAACAGUUAUUCCUUGUUAUAGGGAAUAUUGCUAAAAGGUGCACAAGUUCUAGAUGCCCUCGCUUCUUGCCACACUGUUGCUUUUGACAAAACCGGGACCUUAACAACUGGCGGUCUUACAUGCAAAGCAAUUGAACCCAUUUAUGGGCACCACGGAGGUAAUAAUCCAAGCGUAAUAACUUGCUGUGUUCCAAAUUGUGAGAAAGAAGCUCUUGCCGUAGCG